UCCCUGGUAGUAUAUCGGUUAGUACACGCGCCUGUCAUUUACCUUCGCGCGAAAGCGGGGUUCGACUCCCCGCCAGGGAG